rnacentral:rRNA from 2 species
AAAACGGAGAGUUUGAUCCUGGCUCAGGAUGAACGCUGGCGGUAUGCUUAACACAUGCAAGUCGAACGGUCUCUUCGGAGAUAGUGGCGGACGGGUGAGUAACGCGUG